rnacentral:rRNA from 1 species
UACGUAGGUGGCAAGCGUUUGUCCGGAUUUACUGGGCGUAAAGAGCGCGCAGGCGGCCAAGUCAGUCGAAUGUGAAAGCCCCCGGCUUAACUGGGGAGGGUCAUUCGAUACUGCUUGGCUCGAAGACAGGAGAGGGAAGCGGAAUUCCCGGUGUAGUGGUGAAAUGCGUAGAUAUCGGGAGGAACACCAGUGGCGAAGGCGGCUUUCUGGCCUGUUCUUGACGCUGAGGCGCGAAAGCUAGGGGAGCAACGGG